rnacentral:miRNA from 1 species
CACGUGUGUGCAUGCAUAUGU